rnacentral:rRNA from 1 species
GACGAACGCUGGCGGCGUGCCUAAUACAUGCAAGUCGAACGAGAGCGCCCGGUGCUUGCACUGGUCAAUCUAGUGGCGAACGGGUGAGUAACACGUGGGUAACCUGCCCAUCAGAGGGGGAUAACAUCCGGAAACGGAUGCUAAAACCGCAUAGGUCUUCGAACCGCAUGGUUUGAAGAGGAAAAGAGGCGCAAGCUUCUGCUGAUGGAUGGACCCGCGGUGCAUUAGCUAGUUGGUGAGGUAACGGCCCACCAAGGCCGUGAUGCAUAGCCGACCUGAGAGGGUGAUCGGCCACAUUGGGACUGAGACACGGCCCAAACUCCUACGGGAGGCAGCAGUAGGGAAUCUUCCGCAAUGGACGCAAGUCUGACGGAGCAACGCCGCGUGAGUGAAGAAGGUUUUCGGAUCGUAAAACUCUGUUGUUAGAGAAGAACAAGUGCUAGAGUAACUGUUAGCGCCUUGACGGUAUCUAACCAGAAAGCCACGGCUAACUACGUG